ensembl:lncRNA
GAAAAGCUACCUGCUCCAAUGCUCCCAUCCAGCAACAUUAGGUUACCAUCUAUUUUAUUUCCCCCUGCAAGUAGAGCGCAUAUCAUCUAGUAUCACUCAAGGUUUGGUUUCUGUUGGAGUGAGCACCUGACCUAGUCCACAGGGGUAUCCCCACCCACCCUCAGCUGCCUGCGACCAGCAGAGACGUGCUUCGUCAUUGCAAGACGCGUCACUGGAAUACUCGGAUCAAUAUGCUGUAACUUCUGAAGGCGUCGGGAAACACUUGAAUUAUGAUGGCGGAAUAAUACCAGGAAGAAAACAGGAAGAAACGUCUCACCUCUCAGUGCUGCUAAAAGCUGCUCUUUAGAAUCAUUGGAGUUAGAAGCCAGACCAGAGCUGCUCACCUGGCCUUUAGCAGAGAAUCUAGAUGUUACCUAGUGAAGACAAUGGAGGAGGCAGUCAUGCAGGAGGCAGC